CUCGUAGGGUCCACUGCUGGGUAAGCCUGCUAAUGAUGUCUCUUCUCCCAGCAGGCUUUGUAGCACUUUCCAGCACUAUAAGAGCUAGCCAAUAGGAAUAGCUCUUGCAGACCAGUACCGGCUUGAUUUAUCCAAGUCCUCUGAUGCAAGCAUGCGAUACCUUCAGCAACUAGCUCUUACCUCCAAGUUCUACUGUGCUGUCUACCAAAGACCUCUCGAAACAUACUCCAUGCCUUUGCUCAAAACCCCAGCUUCUGUAAGGAGGUGGAUGAAGGGUGGACAUGAGCGAAACACACUGUAUUCAUGCAUGACGUUUGCCAAGGUCCUGCCAGAUCCUGGACAUGGCCUGCAAGAAUGGCCAGGAGAGCUACCACCAAGUGAAGAGCACCUGCCCCUGACCAUGUGUGAACUCUCCUCAGGGAAGUUCACAAACUACAGGCAUCAUCUGAGUGCAUCUUACACAGCAGCCCAGCACCCUCCUCAAGAAGAAACUCUGGAGAAUCCCUGCUGGUUCUGUGCACUUGGACCAAGUUCUCUAGGUUUCCAGAAUUCUUACUCUUUGUCCAAGUCCUAAACCUAACUCUGCUGUGUCCCCUCCCCCCCACCCCGUAACUUCUCUUCCUCUCAUCUCG
rnacentral:lncRNA from 1 species